rnacentral:siRNA from 1 species
GCGGCAGGUGCAGCAACCUCUG